rnacentral:rRNA from 1 species
UACGUAGGUGGCAAGCGUUGUCCGGAAUUAUUGGGCGUAAAGCGCGCGCAGGCGGCCUCUUAAGUCUGAUGUGAAAGCCCCCGGCUCAACCGGGGAGGGCCAUUGGAAACUGGGAGGCUUGAGUAUAGGAGAGAAGAGUGGAAUUCCACGUGUAGCGGUGAAAUGCGUAGAGAUGUGGAGGAACACCAGUGGCGAAGGCGACUCUUUGGCCUAUAACUGACGCUGAGGCGCGAAAAGCGUGGGGAGCAACAGG